rnacentral:lncRNA from 1 species
CACAUUUUUCUUACCACUAACUGACUACUGGAUAUUUUGAACUUCAUGUCCAGCAGGCCUCUAAACUCACCAUAUCCAAAACAGAUGUCAUUACCUUUCUCCUCCAUGUUUCUGAACUUCCUUGUUAUUAUUAAGAGCAUCACCAUCUUUCCAGGAACCCAGGGUACAACUUUCAUAAGUUCUGUGGGAAGGGAAGCUGAAACUUACUUCCUAAGUGAACUGACUUUGAUCUAUUCAGGUAUCUUCCUGACUCAGAGAAUUUCUAACUUGCUUAUUCAGAAUAUUUUUCUUUAG